AACGAACGCUGGCGGCAUGCCUAACACAUGCAAGUCGAACGAGACCUUCGGGCCUAGUGGCGCACGGGUGCGUAACGCGGGGGAACCUGCCCUUAGGUUCGGAAUAACUCCCCGAAAGGGGUGCUAAUACCGGAUAAUGUCUUCGGACCAAAGAUUUAUCGCCUGUGGAUGGGCCCGCGUUGGAUUAGCUAGUUGGUAGGGUAAAAGCCUACCAAGGCGACGAUCCAUAGCUGGUCCGAGAGGAUGAUCAGCCACACUGGGAAUGGGACACGGCCCAGACUCCUACGGGAGGCAGCAGUGGGGAAUAUUGGACAAUGGGCGAAAGCCUGAUCCAGCAAUGCCGCGUGAGUGAUGAAGGCCUUAGGGUUGUAAAGCUGUUUUACCCGGGAUGAUAAUGACAGUACCGGGAGAAUAAGCUCCGGCUAACUCCGUG
rnacentral:rRNA from 1 species